UGACCUCGGAUCAGGUAGGGAUACCCGCUGAACUUAAGCAUAUCAUA
rnacentral:rRNA from 7 species